UUAAAGUUCACACAAAAAAUAUAUAUAUUGUAUAUUAGAUUUUGACACGCUCAUAAUAUAGGUGAAAACAAUUAUACAAUAAAUGUAUAAAAUUUUGAUUAAAAAAAGAUUCUGAUGUGGUAUUUUCUUGGUAUUCCGUUGUUUUAAUCCAAGUCGUGAGUUUUUUCUUUGUCAAAUGCUUGCAGCUUGUGGUUUGAGUUUUUUCAUUUUAUCUGCAUACCUUUCAUCUCAUCUUAUUUCUAUAUACAGCGAUGACAUAUUAAAUGCUUAUUAGUAAAAAUCCACAAGAUCAUACAUACAGGUGCUUACAAGAAUAAAUAGCUUUAUUUGUGACAUUCUUAGGGCUGUUACCAAUGUUCCAUUAAUUUAUUAUGUUGAUUCCAGGCAUUAGGGAUCAAUAAUUUUAUUUUAAGAUGAUGCGAAGGGGGUGCUAUCAUCAUAAAUCUCCCAUCAUUAUGACUUUUAAGUUUAAUGAAUGGCAUAUUAUCAUUAUGAUAUUAGCAAUAUAUGCAUAGUGAACAGUAUUGCAGGCUUUGUCUUUGGUUAUAUUCCUUUUUUAUGAAGAGAGGCUUGAAUUUUAUGUUUAACUUUUAACCUGUAUUUUGUCCUUGUUCUGUUUCCUGACGAUCAGGCAGCUAAUGGCUGUGAUAUUGAGCAUGUUGCGUAUGAUUUUUUCACACAAGUGUUUGUAUUAUAUGAAGAAGAAAUAGCGGUAAUUGUACUACUCAGAUCAGCUAUUGUUGAAGUCUGUUAUGCCUUUCUAAUUUGUGUAGAGUUUCAUGAAUGUUUAUUGAUCAUAGGACUCUAAAGCCCAAGUGACUGCAAUUCAUAUGAUAAUUGGGACUCUCCAGAGGAUGAAUGUAUUUGGUGUUGAGAACAGAGAUACUUUGACACACAAAGCCACAGGAGUAAUAUUGCUUCCUCUUCUCUGAUUCAUUGUACUUCAUUGAACUGUUUAUACAAAACUUACAUAUGUGUUACUUUGGUCAGUAUUCAGCUUGGCUAUUGAAGAAGGCUAAUCAGUGUAGAGCUGUUUAUGCAUGUUCCCAUCUAUUUUGGGUUGAUGAUCAGGAUGGCAUAAAGGAUGGCGAGAGGUCUGGCCUCAAAACUUGUCCUUUGGUUUAGAUUUUUUUUCAUGUAAACAUUAAAUUCAUUCUAACAAUAAGAAACUGAAAAACUUUGCGGGAGAGGUUGCAGGGUCCUCUAACAAUAAGCAAAUCACCAGUUCUGCGAUCCAAGGGCUGAUAGAAUUAAUUAAUACUGAGAUGCACAGUGAUUCCACAAACCCUGAUAGUGUGGCGGAUGCUUUCCUUGCCAGCACCUUGCGUUACAUUCAGUUCCAAAAACAAAAAGGCGGUGUAGUGGGUGAGAAAUUCGAUUCCGUUAAACUGUAAAUUGUUGAGUCAUGUAAAG
rnacentral:lncRNA from 1 species